AGUGAACGCUGGCGGUAGGCCUAACACAUGCAAGUCGAACGGCAGCACAGUAAGAGCUUGCUCUUACGGGUGGCGAGUGGCGGACGGGUGAGGAAUACAUCGGAAUCUACUUUUUCGUGGGGGAUAACGUAGGGAAACUUACGCUAAUACCGCAUACGACCUACGGGUGAAAGCAGGGGAUCUUCGGACCUUGCGCGAUUGAAUGAGCCGAUGUCGGAUUAGCUAGUUGGCGGGGUAAAGGCCCACCAAGGCGACGAUCCGUAGCUGGUCUGAGAGGAUGAUCAGCCACACUGGAACUGAGACACGGUCCAGACUCCUACGGGAGGCAGCAGUGGGGAAUAUUGGACAAUGGGCGAAAGCCUGAUCCAGCCAUACCGCGUGAGUGAUGAAGGACUUCGGGUUGUAAAGCCCUUUUGUUGGGAAAGAAAAGCAGCAGGUUAAUCCCCCGCUGUCCUGACGGUACCCAAAGAAUAAGCACCGGCUAACUUCGUG
rnacentral:rRNA from 1 species